rnacentral:lncRNA from 1 species
GUUACAGUAACAUCACCUUUCAGCUGGUGUCUGAGGCAACUUUUAAUAAAAGUACCCUAGUGGAGUACAGUGGUGUCGGUCAUGAACCCAAGCAGCAUAGAACUGCCCCGUAUCCACCUCGAAAUAUUUCAGUUCGUUUUGUAAACUUGAACAAACAUAACUGGGAAGAACAGAGUGGAAGUUUCCC